AAAAAAAAAACAGAAAGUGGACUGGUUAUACUGGUUUAAACUAAAUCUCAAAAAGAAUGUAGAAACUACAUUCCAUUUCUGUGUUUUUAUAAACUUUAUAAAAAGUUAUUAAUGUUGCCUACACUAUUCCAGAUAGGUGAUAUUGUUUCUGUGUAUUUGGGGGGUUAAUGGAAUAUGUUUCCUUAUUAUUUUUACUUUUUUAAAGACAUUUUCCUUAAGUAGGUGAGAAUUUAUUUUGUUCAAAUCAGUGUGCCAAAAUACAGAUGCAUUUGCAUUAACAAUAGUUCAAAGUAAAAUGUCAUUUAAAAAAGCAGCAUACCAAAAGUGGCCUGAAAUUUGAGCUGCCACAGAUAGUGGGUCAUUUUCAAAUUUGGCCUGUUGGGAGGGAAAAUGGCCUGCAGAGAGCCAGGUGGCAGACAGUUAUAUGAUGGUUCUGUAUAAAUGUGAGAUUUAAUAAAUUGUUGUGUCCAUUAUUAUCAUUUUAAAAAGUAAAAUAUAAAAUUACUCCUUUGACUCAAAAAUCUAAGUAUUUACUAAGUGCUUUUUGUCCUGAUAUUUCCUUGAUAUAGUUUUAGAAAUAUCUUUAGAUGUUUGAAUGUCUUUUAUUUUGAUUUUAAAUAAUACUAUUGGAUAUCACUCAUUUGGAAACAUUAUGUUUUCUUUAAAAAUACAGUAUUACAUUUACUUUUCUAUGCAUUUAAGAACUAAAGUCUGAAUAAUGAUGGUUUGGGGAAAAUAUAUUUUCAUCAAAAUGAAAGCUCAUUAACCCAUGACAUUUAAUUUGAUUGACAGUUGUCUAGGAGGUAACAUUUUUAAGGUAGGUUGUACAUAUGUGUUGGAUUGACUAUAAAUGUGUUGUAACUAUGUUGUGAAAAUUAAGGCUUGAAGUAAAGUUUUAAAAAGUAGGAAAAAAGAUUAUGUUAUUUCUUUCUUAAAUAUUUUAUGGAUUUAUUGUUGAGACUAUUUGAAAUUUUCAUAUUUACUUUUUUGUAUUGAUCUAUUUACUAUGCAACAAUUUCUUUGGAGCAUGUACUUUGUGUUAGGCAUAAUUUUAAAGUCUUUGAUAUCUUAGAGAACAAACUGGACAAAAGUUCCACCAUUCAUGGUGCCUACGUUCCAGUAGUGAAGAAAAAUAGGAAAUAAAGCAUAAUAAGAGGAAGUUAUGCUGUGUGUUAAGAGAUUACAAGUGCUGUCAAAAUAAAGCAGCACAAGGAUGACCAGGAGAUGGGAGGCAGGAAAGGGUAGAGGAGAAGAGCAGGUUGAGAUUGUAAAUAGGAUGGCUAGGUUAAGCCUUAUUGAGAAGGUGAUAACUGAUAUUAGACUUGAAGGAAUUCAAAGAGCGAACUGUGGCUACCUGGAGAAAAAGCAUUCCAAGAAGAGGAAACAGAUAACCCAAUUGGAGAUCAGCUUGGCUUCAUUUUAGAACAAGCAGGAAGGCACUUUGGUUCUUCAAAAUUUUAAGUGGAGGUUUAUAAAUGCACGCAUAAUAGUUGUCAAGAUGAAUGUUAGGAUUCUGUAAUAAGAUACUUUUAUUUGUUGUUUUAUGGUCUUUUUUCUAUCUUGGGAAAAAACAAUAGCUCCACAUGUAAUAAAUUUAAAAAGAUGAGUCUUUAUUUUUAAAAUGUAGUUUUGUAAGUAGCUUUUCAAAAAUAUGGCAAAUACAUAUAUCAAAAUAUAUUAAAUAUAUAUGUUAAAAUAAUUCUUUGGCCUACAUGAUCAUAUAAUUAGUAACUUAAUUAUGUUUUUAAUUUUAUGGGCCAGAUAAUUGUAUUUUAUUCCAUGAAUGCUAAAUGACUAGACAAAAUAUAUGAACAUUCAAUUGUUAUGCAGAAUGCAAUUUACUAUAGUAUCUAAGCAACUAGUUGUUCACUAACUGUGAUAUUUAGAAGUGUGUAACUUCUAAAUUAAAGAUUUUUAAAUUAAAGAAAUUCAGUAGUUAGAAUUUCUUUAACAUGACUUGGAAGAAAUAAUUUCAAAUGGCUUCAUUUAAUCUACUUAUUGUCAGUUGUUUGUUUUAAAUGGUAUUUGAUUAGAUGUAUUCUGUUUCCAAAAUGCCUGUGUUUUUUGUCACUGUAUUAUCAUUGUUUUAUAAUAUAAAGACACACUGCUUUGAGUAUUUGUGAUUGAGCAUUGUAGAGAAAAUCACAUUUAAUUUUUAGUGUCCAGAUUUGUCUAUUUUUCUGAUCAUUUUAGAGUUAAUUAUUUCUUUAAAAAAUACUUUUAUUUUAUUUAUUUAUUUUUUAUGUGGUGCUUCUCACAUGUGUAAGGCAAGUGCUCUACCAUUGAGCUACAAACUCAGUCCCAGAACUGAUUACUUCUUCACCUGGUCUACCAUGGCACUUCAUGGAUAUUUCCAUGAUCAAUUUUCAUUAUGUUUUAGCUGCAUGAUUUCUAGCCUGUCUGCAAGUUGCUUAUCUUUGUAUCCCUACAAGGUGUUGAAAUACUGACAUGGUUCCUGCAGCCUCACAUCCAGGUCUCUUGGUCCCUCCUGAGAAGCAGUAGUGAAGCAGUGGAGUGGCCAAGUGGCACUCCUAGUGGGUUCCAGCACUGGUGGCAAGCAGGUGGAGCCUGCCAUUCAGAUGUGGCAGGACUGAGGUGCCUUGGGCCAGUGUCAAGAUGAGCUGGGGCAAGUCAAUCUGUCAUCCCACAGCAGCCUGGCCUGCACACAAUAUGAUCCUUAUUUUAUUUUAAAUUUUUAUAUUCUUUUCAGUUCUUCCUAAUCCUUAUUUUUUCUCCCUUACUUUAAAAAAUGCUUUUUUGAAGAACCAUAUUUAUUCACUUAUUCAACAGCUAUAAAUUUAAUAUCAACUCUCUACCAGGCACAGAGGUAGCCAUUUUCAGACUGAAAGUGAACAUGAUACAUAAGGGCUCUACUAUUAGAAUUAAUAGAUAAGCAUUGCUUAUUUAGCUAAUAUUUACUGGUUGUCUAUCAUGUGCUAGCCAUUAUUGUGGAAAUUGUGGAUAAGUUACUAAAAAUAACAAAGUCCAUGUCCCCAUGUAAGUUAUAUUCUAAUGAAAGAAUACCAGAGUAAGGGGGUAAGGAUAUCAGAUGUUGAUAUUAUUGACAAUGAUGUUAAUAAAUGAACACACCGACCAUGUUAUUUUAAGCAAUUAGUUAAUUAAUAAUCAUUUUAGCUCUCUUCCAGGUGCUAGGUGUAUGGUAAUGAUGUCAGAUAGCCAUACAGUCUACUAUUAGAGUGCAGAGGUAGAGCAUGAAAUUCAAAAGAGUGGAGAGUGGUCACAUUUGGAGGAAAUGGUAUAUAAACUGAGACCUUAAAGAUAAGUAGGUGUUAGAAUAUAGCCAAGAAGUCACAGGAGAGGAGGGGAUGGUAUAUAAAUAUAAAUAUAGUAAAGACUUUCAAGCAAGAAGGAAAGAACCUGAUGAAUCCAGAGUAGCUGGAUCAUAUGCAUGAGAGAUGAGGCAUCAACUGAUGAGGCUAUAAAGUUAAGCAGUGGCUAUAUUUUAAGGGACCUGGUAGGUUAUAUUAAUAAACGUUCAUCCUAAAAGCAUUGAGAGGACCCAUUAUUAGAUUUUACAUAUAAAAGUGACAUAAAAUGUUAUCACUUAUAAUGUAUAGGAUUUGCAUAAAUGAGGAAAUAUCAUUUUAUCGUAUGUAAAGUUACGCUAAAGUUCUUUGAUUCAUUAUAAUAUCUGAAUAUAAAGAAGUAAUAAAUAAAUUAUAUAAAUGUGUCUCUUUAAUCUGAAAAAAAUCAAUAGCAGUUAAUAUGAACCCAUACAAAUAUAGAAAUAAAGCUCUGCUUGCAAAGCAUUAUUAAGCUUAUAUUAACCUGUGUGCAAAAAAAAGAAACUAAAUUUUUCUUUGUGUAGAACAUUUGGUUACUCUUGUAUAUUUUCUAUCAUAUCGGUGAAAUUAUCAGAUAAUAUCCCAAGAGCUUAAGUGCCAUUUAAUAUCCCCAGUCAAAUGCACAUGAAACUGUACUUUUUCUCUCCAGUGAUUUAAACCUUUGAGGUAUUUCCAUUAAUUGGAAAAACAUUCAUGUCUGACAACUUUCCUGAUCCUUCUGAUAUGUGGAAAAUCACUGAAACUAUUGGAAAAUAAAAUUAUGGAAAAAAAAUUUUUAAAGUAUUGAAUAAAAAAAAUGGCCCAAAAUUGGCAGUCAAAAUUUCUGGAUCCAAUUCAUUUAAGUAAAUUUUAGUUUCCCCCCCAAAUAACUUUAAUGUUCUCUGUUUUAAACUUUUAAAAAGUCUGCAAAUAGCUAUUCAUCACAAUGGUCAUCUUAAAAUAGAUUACAAUUUGAAAAAAAAUAUUUAAAAGCCCACUUGUUUGAUUUUUCUGAUAUAUGUACUUCACCUAUAUAAUAAGGUACAAUAAAUACUUGAUAAAUAAAUGAACAAAUGAAUAAUUUUUAUCACAUGCAUGUCAUAUUGAGAACUAAUAUCCAGGAUAUAUAAGAACUCAACAUGAAGAAUGUGACUUUGUGUAUAAUCAGAGAUAUGAAAAAUUGUACUCUAUAUGUGUAAUAUGAAUUGUAAUGAAUUAUGUUGUCAUAUAUAACAAAUUAAAAUAAAAAAUGAUAUAAAGGAAAAUAAUUUAAAAAACUUAACACUAAAAAAAUACCCAAUCAAUAAAUGAGCUAAGGAACUGAACAGACACUUCUCAGAAGAAGAUAUGUAAUCAACAAAUAUAUGAAAAAAUGUUCAACAUCCAGAAAUUUGAGAAAUGCAAACCAAAACUACUCAAAGGUUUCAUUUCACUCCAGUUAGAAUGGCAGUUAUUAAGAGUACAAGCAAAAAUAAGUGUUGGCGAGAAUGUGGUAGGACUGCAAAUUGAUAAUAAGUGAUCUGGAAAGCAGUAUGGAAAUUCCUUAGAAAACUUGGAAUGGAAUCACCAUUUUAUCCAGCUUGGUUUAUAGCCAAAGGACUUAACAUAGCAUACUACAGUCCUGCAGCCAUAUUAAUGUUUAUAGCAGCACAAUUCACAAUAGCUAAUUUAUGGAACUAAGCUAGAUAUCCUUCAAUAGAUGAAUGGAUAUAUUGGCAUAUAUACACAAUGGAAUUAAAAGAGAAUAAAAUCAUGGCAUUUGCAGGUAAAUGGAUGGAGUUUGAGACUAUUAUGCCAAGUGAGCCAAUCCCAAAGCCCAAAGAUUGAAUGUUUUUUCUGACAAGUGGAUGCUGACCCAUAAUGGG
rnacentral:lncRNA from 1 species